AACGAACGCUGGCGGCGUGCUUAACACAUGCAAGUCGAACGCGAAAGGGACUUCGGUCCUGAGUAAAGUGGCGCACGGGUGAGUAACGCGUAGAUAACCUGUCUUCAUGUCUGGAAUAAUACGCCAAAGGGGUACUAAUACCGGAUAUUCUUGCCUUUCAUAAGUUAUGCAAGCAAAGGUGGCCUCUGCAUAUGCUACUGCAUGAAGAGGGGUCUGCGUACCAUUAGCUAGUAGGUGGGGUAAUGGCCUACCUAGGCGACGAUGGUUAGCGGGUCUGAGAGGAUGAUCCGCCACACUGGCACUGGAACACGGGCCAGACUCCUACGGGAGGCAGCAGUGAGGAAUAUUGCGCAAUGGGGGAAACCCUGACGCAGCGACGCCGCGUGAGUUGAGGAAGGCCUUCGGGUCGUAAAGCUCUGUCAAGAGGAAAGAAGUGUACAAUGGCUAAUACCUGUUGUAUUUGACGGUACCUCUAAAGGAAGCACCGGCUAACUCCGUGCCAGCCGCGGC
rnacentral:rRNA from 1 species